rnacentral:rRNA from 1 species
GACGAACGCUGGCGGCGUGCUUAACACAUGCAAGUCGAACGAAGUGGCGCACGGGUGAGUAACGCGUAAUCAACCUGCCCUUCAGAGGGGGACAACAGUUGGAAACGACUGCUAAUACCUCAUACUGAAGGAGGGGAGUGCGUCGGAUUAGCUAGUUGGCGGGGUAACGGCCCACCAAGGCGAAGAUCAGUAGCCGGGCUGAGGAGGUGGACGGCCACAUUGGGACUGGGAAAAGGGCCAGACUCCCACGGGAGGCAGCAGUGGGGGAACUUCCGCAAUGGGCGGAAGUCUUACGGAGCAACGCCGGGUGGGGGAUGACGGGCUUUGGGUUGUAAAGCUCUGUUAAGCGGGACGCGGUACCGGAAUAGAAAGCACCGGCUAACUACGUGCCAGCAGCCGCGGUAAUAC